UCAUUUACAAGGUUGACCUCGGAUCAGGUAGGAAUACCCGCUGAACUUAAGCAUAUCA
rnacentral:rRNA from 1 species